UCGGCGGAAGGGGCGUGUCUUAGCCGGUUCUCCGUGCGGGAGCGCGCAGCGGUGAUCCCGGUGUGACAGCCUGGAUCAGUCCACGUCAACACGGCGACAGAGACAGAGGCGACAGCAGCGAUGGACGCAGCGUCCCCGGAACCGUCUCUGUACACGGUGAAAGCGGUUUUCAUCCUGGAUAACGACGGGAACAGGCUCCUGUCUAAGUACUACGACCCGGAGCUGUACCCCUCCAUAAAGGAGCAGAGGAACUUCGAGAGCAACAUCUUCAACAAAACCCACAAAGCAGACAAUGAGAUCGCCUUCCUGGAGGGGCUGACCAUCGUGUACAAGAGCAGCAUAGACCUCUUCUUCUACGUGGCGGGCAGCGCUCAGGAGAACGAGUUGAUGCUGAUGUCGGUACUCAGCUGUCUGUUCGACUCCCUCACUCACAUCCUCAGGAAAAAUGUGGAGCGAAAGUGUUUACUGGAAAACAUGGAGGGGGCCUUCCUGGUGGUGGAUGAAAUCAUUGAUGGGGGGGUGAUUCUGGAGAGCGACCACCAGCAGGUCCUGCAGAAGGUCAACUACCGGCUCCUGUCAGAGCCAGCCUUUGGCUUCGUCCUGUUCGAUUACAUCACGGGUAACCUAGAGGGACAGGCAGACAAAACCCAGCAGCUUUAGCCUGACGAGCUGAGGGUGAGAGGGGGGAGGUGAGGGGAGGUGAGUGCAUGGUGAGAGCGCACGCAGGCGUGCAUGGUGAGAGCGCACGCAGGCGUGCAUGGUGAGAGUGCACGCAGGCGCUUCACUGGCUCUGACUGAUGUGUCCCUGAACCAAAGGAAGCUGCAGCUCUGAUUGGCUGAGCUGCUAACCAGCAUGAGCACGGCCCCGCCCACGCCGUCACCCGCUCGUCUUUGGGUUUUCCUCUCCAUGACAUCGAGUCUUUGUCUUUCACAGGCGGACGACAACCCUUUAACCGAGCAGAGUGUCACCCAGCACCUAACAGAGAAGCUGGCUCUCACCUCUAACGUUCUCCAGUCGGCCAAAGACCAGAUCAAGUGGUCCAUCCUGAAGUGACCCCACAGGAAGGAGCAGGGAGAGGCGUCGGGAGGACUUUUGUCUUUUUUGUUUUUGUUUUGCAUCAUUGAUUUAACUUAUUUGGAUUGUGAGGGAAGCGUGGAAAUGUUUUUUUACUUCUGUUGUCACGGCGAUGAGCAGAGUGGAGCUGCAGCAGCGUAAACCCUGAAGGUCCAGUGGGGCUGCUGCCAAAGGCGGGAAGGAAGACGACACGGCUCCGCGUCCUGCACACGGACUCGAACCUCAGCAAGUUACUUUGUGGGUCAGAACGCUUUUUGUGGAUUUCUGAGUGGAAAAAUGCCAAAGACUCAUUUUUAGGAGGCUUAGAUUUUGCUCCAACAGAUGUUACUUUUUGGGAGGCUGCUAAUAAAACGAAGUUUGUUGACAUUU